rnacentral:tRNA from 1 species
AAUAAGAAACAUCUACUCCCCCCCAUGUAAUUAGUUUCGACCUAAUAGAAGGUUCCCAACCCUUAUUUAG